CUGUAGUCAAAGCUGAAAGAUGAUGUCAGCAUCAUUCUGCUUUGCUAUGCUAUCGCCGGUUUUUUGCGCUGCUAACCAAGUUCAGGGUUUCGCCCAUCGCUGGAGAAAACUGGAAGAGUUUUUUGAAAUGAGAUGGUGUAAGAUUAACAAAAGAAGAAAAG